AUACUUACCUGGCAGGGGAGAUACCAUGAUCAUGAAGGUGGCUUUCCCACAGUGAGGCUCAUCCAUUGCACUCCGGGGGUGCUGACCCCUGCGAUUUCCCCAAAUGUGGAAACUCAACUGCAUAAUUCGUGGUAGUCAUACAUUACUACUAAUGUAAUUAC